AUGGUGUUCUGUGAGGCUCGUAGGAUGAAAGUUGCCGUCGCUGGCAGUAGGCUACUCUGGAGGACAGGAGCGUUUUCUUGUGCUUAUUUCACGCUGGGCAUCGCUGACGCGCCCUCCCUCCUCCACUCUGACCCCUCGGGCCUCUUGCCCAUAGCACAAACAAGGCCAAGGUAGGCAGCAAUGGCUUACUUGUACUGCCAAUUAACCAUGCAAUAAUGAUUGGGGUUGCUACAUGGGUUUAGAAAAAUGUGUAUUUGUAUGUUAUUUAUAUUUUAAGAUUUAAGUGCAUCCAUUUUGUACUGAUUAAAAGUUCUUUGUAUUGAUAACUGUAAAGUUAUGACUUGUGGCAUGUAGGUGAUAAUUGAAGAUGAUGUAUGUUAUUAGUAAAAUCUUGUUUUCUUGUUUGCUAUAGAUCACAGCUGGCUGUCAGUAUGACAGCCUGACCACUGUUUUCCCCUGAUUAAAUUUAGUUUGUGUUUUUUUGAUUGUAUGCUCCCUAGUGGUGACCUGCUCUGUCCUUAGCCCAUUAUUGUGCCUUCCAACGCCAAGUAGCGGCGCUAGGUUGGUUUAUGGUCAGGUUGAGUUAGUUGGUUGUUCAUCCCCAGUUUGUUUGUUUUCUGCUUUUCCCUUCUCCUACCCUGUCGGCACUGGCCUAGUCGGCCAGUGUUUUUGAGCAGCCCUCUUAACCAUCCGCUCGAGGGCUGCCUCAGUUAAUGUUCCCCUCCUGAUUUUUCUCCCUUUUACUGGUUUGAGUUUUAUUAUUUUUAUUUGUCUCCUCUUGUCUCCUUGCCCCUCCUAGCUGUG